rnacentral:rRNA from 1 species
AUUGAACGCUGGCGGCAGGCCUAACACAUGCAAGUCGAACGGUAACAGGAAGAAGCUUGCUUCUUUGCUGACGAGUGGCGGACGGGUGAGUAAUGUCUGGGAAACUGCCUGAUGGAGGGGGAUAACUACUGGAAACGGUAGCUAAUACCGCAUAACGUCGCAAGACCAAAAAGGGGGACCUUCGGGCCUCUUGCCAUCGGAUGUGCCCAGAUGGGAUUAGCUAGUAGGUGGGGUAACGGCUCACCUAGGCGACGAUCCCUAGCUGGUCUGAGAGGAUGACCAGCCACACUGGAACUGAGACACGGUCCAGACUCCUACGGGAGGCAGCAGUGGGGAAUAUUGCACAAUGGGCGCAAGCCUGAUGCAGCCAUGCCGCGUGUAUGGAGAAGGCCUUCGGGUUGUAAAGUACUUUCAGCGGGGAGGAAGGGAGUAAAGUUAAUACCUUCGCUCAUUGACGUUACCCGCAGAAGAAGCACCGGCUAACUCCGUG